rnacentral:rRNA from 1 species
AUUGAACGCUGGCGGCAUGCCUUACACAUGCAAGUCGAUCGGCAGCACGGGAGCAAUCCUGGUGGCGAGUGGCGAACGGGUGAGUAAUAUAUCGGAACGUGCCCAGUCGUGGGGGAUAACGUAGCGAAAGCUACGCUAAUACCGCAUACGAUCUAUGGAUGAAAGCGGGGGAUCGCAAGACCUCGCGCGAUUGGAGCGGCCGAUAUCAGAUUAGGUAGUUGGUGAGGUAAAGGCUCACCAAGCCGACGAUCUGUAGCUGGUCUGAGAGGACGACCAGCCACACUGGGACUGAGACACGGCCCCAGACUCCUACGGGAGGCAGCAGUGGGGAAUUUUGGACAAUGGGCGCAAGCCUGAUCCAGCAAUGCCGCGUGCAGGAUGAAGGCCUC